rnacentral:rRNA from 1 species
UGGGGAAUAUUGGACAAUGGAGGAAACUCUGAUCCAGCAAUUCUGUGUGUGUGAAGAAGGUUUUAGGACUGUAAAACACUUUUAGUAGGGAAGAAAAAAAUGACGGUACCUACAGAAGAAGCAACGGCUAAAUACGUGCCAGCAGCCGCGGUAAUACGUAUGUUGCGAGCGUUAUCCGGAAUUAUUGGGCUUAAAGGGCAUCUAGGCGGUAAGACAAGUUGAAGGUGAAAACCUGUGGCUCAACCAUAGGCUUGCCUACAAAACUGUUGAACUAGAGUACUGGAAAGGUGGGUGGAACUACACGAGUAGAGGUGAAAUUCGUAGAUAUGUGUAGGAAUGCCGAUGAUGAAGAUAACUCACUGGACAGCAACUGACGCUGAAGUGCGAAAGCUAGGGGAGCAAACAGG